rnacentral:rRNA from 1 species
GAUGAACGCUAGCGGCAGGCCUAACACAUGCAAGUCGCGGGGCAGCGCGGUGCAGCAAUGCACUGGCGGCGACCGGCGCACGGGUGCGUAACGCGUAUGCAACCUGCCCAUUCCCGGGGGAUAGCCCGCCGAAAGGCGGAUUAAUACCCCAUGGACCCUUAGCCCCGCAUGGGGCGGAGGGUAAAGCUCCGGCGGGAAUGGAUGGGCAUGCGUGCCAUUAGCUGGUUGGUGGGGUAACGGCCCACCAAGGCUACGAUGGCUAGGGGGUCUGGGAGGAUGAUCCCCCACACUGGUACUGAGACACGGACCAGACUCCUACGGGAGGCAGCAGUGAGGAAUAUUGGUCAAUGGGCGGAAGCCUGAACCAGCCAUGCCGCGUGCAGGACGACGGCCCUACGGG